GCAAGCCUGCCUCACCCACACGCCCUUUAAAUGGAAGCCCGGGCCAGGUCUUGGUCAUGUAGGCAGCCAUGUUGCAUAUCACAUGACCCUCUUCCUCUCAUUCACUUGAGCAGUCACUGAUUGGGUGAGGCGGUCACCUGACCAAAGGCAGCCAAUCAUGAGGUUUCACAGGAGCAGAGGAGAGAGUCAAGUAGAUUAUCUCUGUGGCUGUGAACUAAGUGGACCCGCAGGCCUCUUCCUCCCUUCCUUUCUUCCUUUCCUCCUUCUUUCCUUUGUUCCUUUUUGUGAUACUGGGAAUCAAUCUACCACUAAGCCACAAUCCCGGCCCUCCCCCACCCCUUAGCCGCUGUCUUCAGAAACCUAUCGGAUGGGCUGUGGAGGAAACUGAGUCCCCGUCCUGGUGCACGUGAAGUGCAGGAAUUGCUCACCCAGGGGGCGCUGUUGCCCCCCACCACCACCAGCUGAGUCUUCCCCACUUGUCCUGGUGGCUGCCCGCUGGAAGGUCUCCACCCCACGCGGUGUUGGAUGUCCUGCAGCAGAUCUGCUUGUGACCCCUGGGUGAGGAUGCAUCCUGCAGCCUUUACCAGCCCCCGGGUUGCCCAGCAGGUCCCUGGAGUCGGACACCUCCCAGGCCUAUGGCCAGGAAGCAGUAAGUGGCAUGGAGAACUGAGAGCUGUCAGGUGACCCUGUGGCGAUUCUCCACUCUGUGACGCCGAGGUUGGUUUCAUUCUGAUUCCCACACCUGAUGCCACAGCCAGAUUGUCGCCAGGAACUGGGAAGGGCCAAACCCAUUUUGUCACCAGCGUUGCAGGCGUGACUCGUCCAUCUGGACUUCUUAGGCGCUUGAGUUUUACUCAAACCGAAAAUAAAUCUACAUUAAAGACAAA